rnacentral:rRNA from 1 species
CACCGGCAGCUCUAGUGGUAACAAUUUUUAUUGGGCCCUAAAGCGUCCGUAGCCGGUUUAAUAAGUCUCUGGUGAAAUCCUGCAGCUUAACUGUGGGAAUUGCUGGAGAUACUAUUAGACUUGAGACCGGGAGAGGUUAGAGGUACUCCCAGGGUAGAGGUGAAAUUCUGUAAUCCUGGGAGGACCGCCUGUUGCGAAGGCGUCUAACUGGAACGGUUCUGACGGUGAGGGACGAAAGUUAGGGGCGCGAACCGGAUUAGAUACCCUGGUAGUCCCUGAGCGGGCUGGCAA